ACCGCUUGCGGCGCGGCUUGCGCAGCCCGCCCAGCAGGCGCGUCCAGGCGCGGGUGCCAUCCUGCGUGCGGGUC
rnacentral:tRNA from 1 species